rnacentral:misc_RNA from 1 species
AUUAAAUGUUAAUGUGUGGUGCAUUCGUGAAUCUAAUAAGUUGCCACUAGUAUUUUGUGUUAUUUAUGUCAACAAGCAUCUAAAUUUCGUGCCAUUUAACUCUUAAACAAUCCCUUUAAAUGUUUUAUAUAUUAUGUUGUUAGAAGGUGUGGCCUGACUGCUGUAGUUAAUGCUGCUUUUAAAGUUUGGUUAUUCAUUAGAUUAGUGUGAUCUAUAGUUUUGUUCUACUCAAGCUGGAUGAUAUUAGCUUCAUGGAAAAUAUGUCCGUCAAUGAAAUAUCAUAUUUGAUACCUCUCUGGCAA